GCCCGGAUGGCGAAAUUGGUAGACGCAAGGGACUUAAAAUCCCUCGGUGGCAACACCGUGCCGGUUCGAGCCCGGCUCCGGGCA
rfam:Halomonas huangheensis strain BJGMM-B45 contig7_scaffold2, whole genome shotgun sequence.